ACGGUGUUUGGAUCUUCGUUUUGAUCGGGUUGGGAUUGGCUUAUUUCCUGUUUUGGAGGUUUCAGAUGAGGCACCUCGUUGGCAACUUGAACAAAAAAACCAAUUAGCCUUUUGGAGGCUUUUUUUUUGUUUUUUGUUUUUUUUGGUUUUUCACGUUUUUAGUUUUCAUUCUGUAGAUUACUAUUUUAACACCUGUAAGUUGUUUGCUCGUUUGAUGAAAUAAAAUAAAUUAGUUUUUAUCAUACUUUGACCUAACGAAAGAUAUGUGCAAAACUAAAUACAAUACAUUCUAGAGCUUCAUAUAGCUAAUCCCACUUAAUAAGAUAUGACGUUGUUAUUGUUAUCGUACAUUUGAUCUUCCAAAAUACAACGCCAUUUACCAACAUUGGAUCAAUUAUUACAAUAUUUUGUUGAAGAAAACGAACCAGCUAAACACAAGUGAUAUUUAUACUCUAAACUACUCUAAGAGGAGAGAGAGGGUUUGAAUUAGAGUCGAUAUGAGUUGAAGAAGACCAUAAUCAUCAGGGCAAUCCACCACUAGCCCUUAUGACAAUUAAGAAUCAAACUGAAAGACCGAACAAUUAAAUCCGGCUUGUUACAACUUAAUCACCUUUCGAGAAUACAGUUCAAAGGGACCUUACAGAAAACCAAAAAAGACUCAUCCUACUACAAAGCCAAAUUUAAACCAUCUUCUUAGUUCGUGAUCCAUUUGUAUCUGUGAACAGGUAAAUUUAUCAGUGCUUAGACCUUUGGGAUGAAAACAUUGAAGCUGGAGAUGACAAAACAGAUCAUAUGUUCGGUACUUCUUACUGAGAUCACCAUGAAUUCAUCAAGACAAGCUUGAUUACAUAAAUUAUUAAGCAUACAUUGCGGACAGAAAUUAACUCUAGCAAUGUGAACCACAAGGCAAAGAUUACAAAACAUGUGGCCCGCCUAACCGAGACCUAGUAUCAAAAUCUUCAUAACUUAUCUCCACCAAAAAAAUACGAUUGUUAGAUUCUAUGGACGAUAAGUGUGAUUGUCUCUUCUCUGCUUGAGUGAAACUCCAGAUAGGUUGGGUGCGGAAUUACAAUGAAAUAAAAUGCCAACUAUGAAAUUUAAGGAUGCCACGGCCCAUGGUUUAACAUCAUGCUCUUAACUUGUUUCGAUAUGGACAAAAGUAAGCAGAUCAGCCGCAUAGAAACAACCGUAACUUAUACCACCAACGAUGGUAAGGGGUACCAUUUAUGAAAAGAUACACUUAGUUUCACAUGGCACGAGACGAAAGCUUCCCAUAACAACUGCAUAGCAGUCUGCACUCAAUGACGCAAAUUAGUUAUUUCCUUUGAACCAACUAACUGAACUAACUGCAAAUAGCUCUGUAGCCUCACAUAACAUAGGCCGUAUCAGCCAAUUGCUCGAGUAAAAAACUGCUAACCCUCCCUCAUAACAAACAUUAGAACAUCAAAAUAGUGCACGCAAACCUUACAUCUUACAGUUUAAGUUUCUCGCUAAAUCUCCGGAAAUAAGGAACAGAAUAUGCUAUACUUGGCCCAUAACAAAGCGUAUUGACGUUCUAAGAUUCAUAAAACCGAGCCCACUUAGUGACUAAGGCUUUGUUGUUGUAAGGAACAUAAUAUACUAAACUAAACUAGUCAUUCAUUGUUGUGAAAUUGCUCAUGUCUUUGAUCUGUAAAUACGCGAACUAAAAUAGUAACAUUACCCAAUAAAGGAAAACCCAGAUGCAUUUCCAGUUGAAAACUUCACAAAUAAAUUAUAAAAAAACAAAAAAAUUUGAAUAUUUUGUUGGAAUUUAGUUUGGAAUCUAGGUUGUUAUCUUGCGGGCCAAGGAUUAGUUACUUGCCCAUUAAGUAUUUGAGUUUGUUUAGGAUUUGGUUUAGGGUUUUAGUCUAGGGUUUGCUUUGGUCUUUCUCUAUAUAAAGACCUAUUUGUUUUGUUUCUGUUUAAUUCAUUCAAUAAAAGCUAUGUUUUUCGGUAUAUUGUUCAAUAUGGUAUCAAGAGCAGGUUAAUUGGACCUGUCUCGGUGCCGUCUGUCUGAGUGAUUCAUGAACUCGUGAGUAUAUCACCAGCACUGCACCACUGGACGCUUCCGACUGAACCUGUGCACCGACUUGAAUUUGCAUCUGCUCAGUUCGCUGCAAUCAUCGCAGCCAACUGGACCACCGCCACACCGCACCCACCAUCUGUCGCACUGCUUCAGUCUGCAUCAAUCUGCAUCUUUGCAUCUGCAUCAAUUUGCAUCAGUCGCAUCUGCACCUUUGAUCUGCAUCUGCACCAGGUAUCGUGCUCCUUGUUCCUCAGUAUUGUCAUGGCAUCUGCAAAGGACGAUUCCUUACAAGCUAUUGGUGUGAAAUUGAAUGGAAAUAAUUAUGUGUAUUGGGCAUAUGUGAUGAAGAAUUUUUUGAUUGGAAAAGGUUUGUGGGGCUAUGUUUCUGGAAUGAUUUCUAUUCCAAAUAACCCUAAAGAUGAGAAACAUUUUGAAUUGGUUGCUGCUGCAUGGGAGAUGAAUAAUUCAAAGAUUAUUACGUGGAUUAAUAAUUCUGUUGAUUUGGCUAUUGGAAUGCAACUAGCUAAGUUCUCAACGUCUAAGGAAGUUUGGGAUCACUUGGCAAAGUUGUAUACCAAGGCCAAUUUUGCUAAGAGGUAUCAAUUGGAAAUGGAGAUUCGUACAAUCCAGCAAGGUGAUAAGAGUAUUCAAGUGUUUUACAAUGAACUGACCAAUCUUUGGGAUCAACUUGCAUUAACUGAGCCUGAAGAACUCGGCAUUGUCAAGCUCUAUUGUAAAUAUAGAGAAGAACAACGUCUUGUUCAGUUUCUAAUGCCUCUUCGGGAUGAGUUCGAGACACUCUGUAGCUCCAUCCUUCAUCGAACUCCUCUUCCAUCUGUUGAUUAUGUUCUUAAUGAGUUACAAGCAGAAGAAGUUCGUGUGCAGUGGCAUAGGCUCUCUUCAUCGUCGUCAAAUAUUUCAGCAUUUGCUGCGGCAAGGUCUCGUAGGGUUGCUAUAGAUGAGUGUUCUUAUUGUAAAGGGAAAGGGCAUUGGAAAUCCCAAUGUCCUAAGUUGUCUCAGCAACAUGAACUUCCACAUAAAGGAGGAGCAGCUGCUGUUUUGCAUAUUGGAACUGAUUCAAAAUCUGAAUCUAGGAAGGAUGAUUGGACAUGGUAGUUUGAAGUUGGCAUCGGCAUUGACAUGGUAGUUUGAAGUUGGCAUCGGCAUUGACAUGGUAGUUUGAAGUUGGCAUCAGCAUUAACAUGGUUGUGUUUUGAAGUUGGCAUCGGCAUUAGCAUGGUUGUGUUUUUCGCAUUGGCAUUAGCACUAGAAUUUGGAGUCUUGUAUCCACAUCUACCUUGCAAACUCAUGACUGUGUUCCGCCAUGAGUUUGAUGGGGGGUGUUGGAAUUUAGUUUGGAAUCUAGGUUGUUAUCUUGCGGGCCAAGGAUUAGUUACUUGCCCAUUAAGUAUUUGAGUUUGUUUAGGAUUUGGUUUAGGGUUUUAGUCUAGGGUUUGCUUUGGUCUUUCUCUAUAUAAAGACCUCUUUGUUUUGUUUCUGUUUAAUUCAUUCAAUAAAAGCUAUGUUUUUCGGUAUAUUGUUCAAUAUAUUUGUGACUGAGGUGAGCUGGAAUAAACAGGGUCAAUCGAUUCAGAGAACAAAUAUUCAUUAUUAAACACAAUACAGAUCAAAAGAAAAGAACUUUAAGCAUAUUAAGUGAGUUGAAAUAGUGCAAGUAGCAACCUGAAGAGGAAAAGCUCUCUUCUUUGUGGUGGUGGUGGUUAACACCGACAUCGAGCGCUUCGUGGGCAACUGGGUUUCUCAGACCACCGCCAGAAGACGCGAACCGCCCACCACAUUGCUGCAACUAGAGAAUGCCAUCCGUCUCUCCCGGCAAAGAUCAACGGUCUCAAGGCUCGAACCAGUUAUUUAUUGCAGAGUUUGAAAGGGAAGAAGACCGGACUUAGUGGAGCUGGAGGGACAAAAGGACGAGAUGGGCUGGUCUUUGACGGCUCAACUUAAUUUUUGGUUCUGAAGUUAUUGGGCCUUGGGUAACAGUCUUUCAUUGAUCCGGCCUGAUCGUGAUGGGUUUUUUGUUUUGGAACAAAAAACUACCGGUUUUAGUUAAACUUAUACUCAAUGUUUAAAAUAUCGGUAUCAAAUAAAUAUAGAUAUGCAAAUUUGUGAAAAUAUUGAUGGAUAUAUCGAUAUCGACAUCGGUUGCUUUUAAUAGAAAUGAUAGAAAUUUGGUCAAAACGUGGAAAUUCAAAAAGAAACUUUAGAGAAUGUCACACUAGUUUAAACAAAAUAUAAAAGUUUCUUUGAUAUUUAACUGAAAUAUUAGAAAUAGAGACCACAAUUGUCCAUUUUAGCUGAAAUUUAAGAGUUUAUCCAAUAUAGGGUGAAGUCUAAACAUCUCCCUCUUUCCAUAUCUUUUUUUAAUUUUGAUAUAUAUCUUACGAAAUUAUUGAAUGUAUCGAAAAAAUUUCAAACGAUGCUCAUACUAUUUUCACACUCACUUUUUUACUAAAUGGUAUAUGAUAAAUUGGAUGAGACUACGACAUUAUAUUUGAUAAAUUGGAUGGGACUACGACAUUAUAUUUUUUUGGAAACAUAGCUUUCAAAACGUUUUUACAAGUUGUGGUUCAAUCCCCACCCACGCUACUAAUGGAACCGGAUGCCCUCCUGAGCUUAAGAGGCUAAGCCUCAUAAGCAAAUCACACGGGCCGUGGAAAUUUGAUCCAACGGUUGCAAUUAUUAUAACUUUUAGAGGGGCCAUCUGUUUGUAGUCGUUGAAUCAAAUUCCAACAGCCUGAAUUCUUUACUCAAGAGGGGAUCCGGUUCCUGGUAUUCUCUUAAGCUCAAGAGGGGAUCCGGUUCCCGCUACUAAUACCAUUUAAAGUAGUUUAGUAACUUAAUACGACAUAUGACACUAUUCACUUUGUUUAAUUUGAGCCCAUCACCUCUUAGGUCAUUCCUCAAAAGUAUCCUUGCAAAAUUCCUUGAAAGAUGAAUUUGUUGUGAAUAAUAUAUGGAUGGGCCACAUGAAUAGUUUGUUACUAUUUAUGCACAAUAUUUUCACUAUUCAUUUGUGGAAAAUUUGUAAAGUGAAUAGUGCUUUCUUUUGUUUAUAAAAUGAAUGAGAGGUGAAGAAGGUGGGGAGACUCACGGGAUAGAUAGGAAGGAAAAAAGGAAGAGAGAAAAAGAGAGGAAGAGAGAAAAGAAAGGAAGAGGAGAUGAGAUAAUAGAGAGAGUUAUCUUUGUACUCCUAUUAUUCCAAAUUAUAAUGAAAGCACCACUGCUGCCCCGAGGAUGUACUCCAGUCACACUGACUGUAGAGGAACCUCGUAAAUUUUGUGUCUUGUUUCAUUUAUUCCACUGCACCCAUCGUCGAUUUUACAACACGUUAUCAGCACAAAAAGCUCUUAUGUCCGUGGAAAGCACAACGCCAUAAAUCCGGUGAAGCAUUACCUACCUCCCACCUCUGCUAGCAAAAAAUUUCACAGAAUAAAAGGUAUGUCCAUUUUCUGUAUCUCCCACCGCACCAGAAGCACCCCGCCGUAUUCUGGUGAGAAUUGAAAUUUACAACAACCUGUAGUCGUCACGAGAUAAGAAAACUCGUACCUGACAAUUGGUUUCCAGAGAUCCAGAAAAAUCUCAUCAGACUUGGAAACCCAGAUCGCAUCGUUUUCGAUAAAUCUCGAGAACUCCCGUGAAUACUUGGUUGUCUGAGAUAGUGAUGGCAUGACUGACUCCACAAAUGCAUCCCUCUCUUAUACCUUCAUGAACUCCGCUAUCAUUUAUGUCCCUAUAGGGAAAUUCUUGCUUUGUGACGCCAUGUUCUCUGGGCCAUGCAAGAACAACGUUAGUCUCUGGUAGCCUUAUUGGAUUGAAUUGGCUUUGUGUGACCUCCACAACAACCCAUAUGGCCCUGGGUUUGAGACUAGUACAGACAGAUAAAUAAGAAAAAGGAAGGAGGGAUUAUGGAAUGGUGUUUCAAGCACGGUGUGAAAAAGAAUUGGAAAAGUGGAAUUUUUGGACAAAGGUUUCUAAUGAUGCAUCUGCACCAUGGACGGUUUUACCGCCUACUGCUUUAAGUUUUGAUUUAUGUGAAUGGUGUUGGCUUAAAACACUUUCACAAGUUCUAUUUACUUUAAAGCAAUUUAUUUAUCAUGGACGGUUUUACCGCCUACUGCUUUAAGUUUUGAUUUAUGUGAAUGGUGCUGAAUUAAAGCCCUUGUCACAAGCUUUAUUUACUUAAAUGCAAUUUAUUUACUAUGGCUAGAAUUACCGCUUAUUGCUUUAAUUUAUUUAAUCUUGUCACAAGCUUUAUACUUUCCUUAAGAUUUCGUAAUUGUUUUUUCAAAUUUGCAUAAAAUUAGACAAUUUUAAUUUAAUCUUGUCAUUUUCUUACCAAAUGAAAAUCUGAAAGAGCACUAUAAAAUAAUUUACCUAUAUUUAAAAAAUAUAGGUAAAUUAUUUGGACAUGUGUAUUAGUAAUAAAUUUGCCCUGUAUAUGUAAUGAUACAUGCAAAAUAAUUUACUCCAGGGUACCCUCUUGGAUGAUUGUAUGCUGUCUUCUUGACAUUAAUAAAAUCGCUAUCGUUUCAACUCAAAAAAAAAAAAAAACUUAUAAAAAAAAUUGUUAUUUGAUUCAAAAUAAAUUUAUCUAUAUUUUAUAUAAUAAUAUAGGUAAAUUAUUGCACACAUAUAUAUUAGUAGUAAAAUGUGCCCAAUAUACAUAAUAAUACAUGAAAAUAAUUCACCUACAAAUAAAGGAAAUUUGAUUAAAAAAUAAUAUAUCUACUACUUUUUUUUAUGAAUUUCAAUUUUUUUUAUAUUACAAACGUAAUGUACCUACAAUAUAAUUUACCUAUUGUUUAAUCUUAUAAGAAAAUAAUGUAUCUACUGUUUUAUUUUUAUUUUCUUUUCGAAUAUGUACUGUUUUAUUUUAAUGGAGAUAAUUUUUCUUGGUUUAAUUUUUACGAAAUAAUUUAGGCACUAUUUAACUUUACCAAAAUAAUGGAACUACUAUUUUAAUUUACCUACAAAAUAAAUGCUAUUUGAUUCAAAAUUAAUUUUCUUAUAUUUUACAUAUAAAUAUAGAUAAAUUAUUUUUAACAAGCAUAUAUGAUAACAAACAAAAGAUGCCUAAUGUAUGUAAUAAUCUAGGUAAAAUAAUUUACCUACAACAUAAAAGAAUAUUAAUUGGUUCUUUGUUGUUUUUAUCAAACAAUAUUAUUAUUUGAUGCAAAAUAACUGAUUGUAGAAAGGAUUUUUUUUUUUCAUACGAAAAAUGUGCCCAUAAUUGUUUAUGAACAUGGCUAAAUAUAUAUAUAUAUAUAUAUAUAUAUAUUCCUAAUAUUUAUCAUACAAGAAAGGUAAAAUUUCCAUAUGGGGUUAAUUGCUAAUCAUAAUUAGGGUGAGUAAUAAUAUUUAUUGACAUAAUUAGAGUUUUGUGGCAUAAGUUGUAAAUAUGUGAUAAUAAUUGGUUACAUAUUUGUCUACAUGGUACUCUAAUUGAAAUUUGGGUUUUAUUUGGAUGUUUAAUAUUAUGUGGGUUUUUGUUUGGAAAAUAGGAGUUUCAAUAGCCUUUUUCUAAAGAACCCUAUAUACAAGUGAUGUAAACUCUUUUAAAUUAUGAAAAAGGAGUUCGAACUCGUGUGGAAAGAAAAUCACACCACUCAAACUAAUUUGUUUGUUUAAAUAUUGUAGGAUGCAUGCAUGAUUGAAUAAGGUAAAUCAUCCCAUGUGGAUUCAUCAAUAUAAAAAUAUCUGAUGGUGUGGAAGGGAACUAGGGUAUUAUUACAAAGGCUGUGCUCGUGUGAUUCUGAAAUGUCGAUAGAAUCCGAGGGUCGAAUACUAGAUGUGCUCGUGUCAAACUCAGGAGAGCAAGGAAGACGGUGUUUGGAUCUUCGUUUUGAUCGGGUUGGGAUUGGCUUAUUUCUUGUUUUGGAGGUUUCAGAUGAGACACCUCGUUGGCAACUUGAACAAAAAAACCAAUUAGCCCUUUGGAGGCUGUUUUUUUUUUUGGGUUUUUCAUGUUUUUGGUUUUUUUUUUGUAUUUGUUUUCAUUUAGCAGAUUAUUAUUUUGACACUUAUCAGUUGUUUGCUCAUUUUAUGAAAUAGAAUAAAUUAGUUUUUAUCAUACUUGUGCAAAACUAAGUACAAUGAUAUUCUAGGAUUUCA
rnacentral:lncRNA from 1 species